rnacentral:lncRNA from 1 species
CACUUUUGUUUUUAUCAGUUUUCAAGUGCUGGUGGACUCCCGUUAUCAUGUUGUAGAACAGUUUCCUUGACCUUAGCCUUCCUAACUGAGAGUUUGGCUCUUUUACCCAGGUUCUUCCUAGCUCCCCUUGGUCCUAGUUGCUGGUGAUCUUGUCUACACGGUCUCCUUCUGUCAGUUCCAGCUUCAUAUACUAGUGAGAUCCUGUGGUGUUUAUCUUUCUGUGCCUGACUCAUCUGUUAAAAAAAGAAAAACAGAUCAUCUUAAGACUCCAACCGACUUCCUCCCAGCCCCCAGAAUUCAAAUUCUUUCCUAAGGAUCCACUAUGGAUUCAUGCAUGACAGAGUAUCUAAAAUCUUAUUUACUUCAUUUCCUAAGCAAUGAACUCAUUAGUAACCAUCAUAGCUAUGGGCAUAAGAGUCACAGACUACUCCUUUUCUUCACCAGAUACCUUCUCUAUUGUAAAUGAGGAAUGGGUAUUAGAACCACUUAAAACAUUUGGAGUUAAGAAGACAAAUGAUGCGAAUUAAACACUUCCUUAUAAAUGGAGGGUGAGUGAGAUUUGGAGGUCAGACAAAGUGGUUGGGACUGUUGUCCCUGCUGUGGAGAGUGAUCUAACUCCAUGAUGUAAUAAUGACUUCUUGACCUACAUAUUGAAAAAAUGGCUUUAGUCUCUUCACAGUCUGCCACACUGGAGGGUCCUCAGUGGACAAUUCUUGGGAAACCCAGCAAUGAUUGGUCACAGAGAGCUCUCAGCUCAACCUCAGCUGCUGUCAUAUGCCCUUUGACUGACAAUGCUGCUCCUUCAACAUGGCGCGAGAGAGCAUCUACAUCGUUGGAGACCCUGAAGAUAAGCAUCUUCAUGGCGAGCACCCUGGAGCCUUUCGCAAUUGACCACACUUUUAUAAUCAAGGCAUGUGAGGAUCAGAUGUGGUUGUGUUUAUGAGCACAGGUCCAUCUUCAGUGAAUGCCUUUUUAAUUUGUGACUGUUUCUUUUUUU